UACGUAGGUGGCAAGCGUUGUUCGGAAUUAUUGGGCGUAAAGGGCGCGUAGGCGGCUUGUUAAGUCGGUUGUGAAAGCCCGGGGCUCAACCCCGGAAAGUCGACCGAUACUGGCAGGCUAGAGUACGGAAGAGGUAGCUGGAAUUCCUGGUGUAGCGGUGAAAUGCGUAGAUAUCAGGAGGAACACCUGUGGUGUAGACAGCUUACUGGACCAUUUCUGACGCUGAGACACGAAAGCGUGGGUAGCAAACAGG
rnacentral:rRNA from 1 species